rnacentral:rRNA from 1 species
GACGAACGCUGGCGGCGUGCUUAACACAUGCAAGUCGAACGGAAAGGCCCUGCUUGCAGGGUACUCGAGUGGCGAACGGGUGAGUAACACGUGGGUGAUCUGCCCUGCACUUCGGGAUAAGCCGGGGAAACUGGGUCUAAUACCGGAUAGGAGCCAUUUUUAGUGGGAUGGUUGGAAAGUUUUUUCGGUGUAGGAUGAGCUCGCGGCCUAUCAGCUUGUUGGUGGGGUAAUGGCCUACCAAGGCGGCGACGGGUAGCGGGCCUGAUGGGGUGGACGGCCACAUUGGGUCUGAGACACGGCCCAGACUCCUACAGGAGGCAGAAGUGGGGAAUGUUGCACAAUGGGCGCAAGCCUGAUGCAGCGACGCCGCGUGGGGGAAGACGGCCUUCGGGUUGUAAACUCCUUUCGCUAGGGACGAAGCUUUUUGUGACGGUACCUAGACAAGAAGCCCCGGCUAACUACGUG